GAUGAACGCUGGCGGCGUGCCUAAUACAUGCAAGUCGAGCGAACAGAUGAGGAGCUUGCUCCUCUGACGUUAGCGGCGGACGGGUGAGUAACACGUGGAUAACCUACCUAUAAUUCUGGGAUAACUUCGGGAAACCGGAUCUAAUACCGGAUAAUAUAUUGAACCGCAUGGUUCAAUAGUGAAUGACGGUUUUGCUGUCACUUAUAGAUGGUUCCGCGCCGCCUUAGCUAGUUGGUAAGGUAACGGCUUACCAAGGCAACGAUGCGUAGCCGACCUGAGAGGGUGAUCGGCCACACUGGAACUGAGACACGGUCCAGACUCCUACGGGAGGCAGCAGUAGGGAAUCUUCGGCAAUGGGCGAAAGCCUGACGGAGCAACGCCGCGUGAGUGAUGAAGGUCUUCGGAUCGUAAAACUCUGUUAUUAGGGAAGAACAAAUGUGUAAGUAACUAUGCACGUCUUGACGGUACCUAAUCAGAAAGCCACGGCUAACUACGUG
rnacentral:rRNA from 1 species